AGUGAACGCUGGCGGUAGGCCUAACACAUGCAAGUCGAACGGCAGCACAGUAAGAGCUUGCUCUUACGGGUGGCGAGUAGCGGACGGGUGAGGAAUACAUCGGAAUCUACUUUUUCGUGGGGGAUAACGUAGGGAAACUUACGCUAAUACCGCAUACGACCUACGGGUGAAAGCAGGGGAUCUUCGGACCUUGCGCGAUUGAAUGAGCCGAUGUCGGAUUAGCUAGUUGGCGGGGUAAAGGCCCACCAAGGCGACGAUCCGUAGCUGGUCUGAGAGGAUGAUCAGCCACACUGGAACUGAGACACGGUCCAGACUCCUACGGGAGGCAGCAGUGGGGAAUAUUGGACAAUGGGCGCAAGCCUGAUCCAGCCAUACCGCGUGGGUGAAGAAGGCCUUCGGGUUGUAAAGCCCUUUUGUUGGGAAAGAAAAGCAGCAGGUUAAUACCCCGCUGUUCUGACGGUACCCAAAGAAUAAGCACCGGCUAACUUCGCG
rnacentral:rRNA from 1 species